AGCGAACGCUGGCGGCAGGCCUAACACAUGCAAGUCGAGCGCCCCGCAAGGGGAGCGGCAGACGGGAGAGUAACACGUGGGAACGUACCCUUCGGUUCGGAACAACCCAGGGAAACUUGGGCUAAUACCGGAUACGUCCGAAAGGAGAAAGAUUCAUCGCCGAGGGAUCGGCCCGCGUCUGAUUAGCUAGUUGGUGGGGUAACGGCCCACCAAGGCGACGAUCAGUAGCUGGUCUGAGAGGAUGAUCAGCCUCACUGGGACUGGGACACGGCCCAGACGCCUACGGGAGGCAGCAGUGGGGAAUAUUGGACAAUGGGCGCAAGCUUGAUCCAGCCAUGCCGCGUGGGUGAUGAAGGCCCUAGGGUUGUAAUGCCCUUUCGGCGGGGAAGAUAAUGACGGUACCCGCAGAAGAAGCCCCGGCUAACUUCGUGCCAGCCGCCGCAGUAACAC
rnacentral:rRNA from 1 species